rnacentral:sRNA from 1 species
AGUUUGAUCUCAGACUGCUGUGCUAGCAGUCAGCGAGACUCCGUGGGCGUAGGACCCUCCGAGCCAGGUGCCGGAUAUAAUCUCGUGGUGCGCCGUUUUUUAAGUCCGUCGGAAAAGCGCAGUAUUCGGGUGGGAGUGACCCGAUUUUCCAGGUGCCGUCCGUCACCCCUUUCUUUGACUCGGAAAGGGAACUCCCUGACCCCUCGCGGUUCCCAAGUGAGGCAAUGCCUCGCCCUGCUUUGGCUCGCGCACGGUGCGCGCACCCACUGACCUGCGCCCACUGUCUGGCACUCCCUAGUGAGAUGAACCUGGUACCUCAGAUGGAAAUGCAGAAAUCACCCGUCGUCUGCGUCGCUCACGCUGGGAGCUGUAGACUGGAGCUGUUCCUAUUCGGCCAUCUUGGCUCCUCCCGGAUCACCUCUCCAGGCUACACUCUUGAGUCGACACUCAUAGUUCGCUACACACAGACCUGGAUCCUGGGAGCAAAAAAAUCAAGUAUAUCCUAUCAGGUGAUGGAGCUGGGACCAUAUUUCAAAUAA